GGACAACCACUUUUACCUCAGGUUGACGAUUUUAUAAAAGUUAAAGUCUAGUGUGAGUGUAAACAUUUGUUAAAAGUUUUAGUGACGAACAGAGUAAAUAUAGAAAAUUUAUACAUAGAAGAACUAAGCCUAUAAUACAACAGCUUUAAGCUGGUACUGCAACUGAACGAGACAAAGUACUUUUCUAGUGAUAUCUCUCUGCAUGCUGUAGCUGUUAUAGUUACAUUUCAUCUACUGUAGUAGAACACUCUACGUCCUCAUUAUCUACAGACAACUGUAGGAUCCUAAUGUUUAAAGUCUUUCAAAUGGUAAACAACAUAAGGUACAUGUAGAAACAUUCUUAGAGUGAUGUAUCUAUCUGUUGUACAGUAACGUACUCCUUAUAGCAUCAUUAAUAAAACUGGACCAGAUUAGUUUGUCAUUUAUCUCAGAAAUCAACAUGAAAUGUAUAUAGCUUUAAAAGGAUUAACUUAUGGAUAAAUCCUUUUUUUUUUACAGACUUGGAACAACCAAGAAUUCCCGACAGUAAUGGAUGGAAUAUCAUAACCAGAACACAAACUGAUAUGUUUCACAGCUGAAGAAAUUCAUUCUACUCAUCUCAUGUAAGUUUAUUUUGAACUAUUAACUAGAUGGUAUAAGUCUUUGUUUUAAUAUAACACAAGUUAGUGGUACAUCCCUCUCUCCAACACUUGCACUGAGACUUAGUAGAAAAAUGUAAGUCUCAGUGCAAAAAUUAGAGAGAGGGAUGUACCCUUAAUGUGUGUUUUAUUAAAACAAACUAUUACUUGUUUUUAAUUAAAAUUUAUAACAUUUUAAAGAAAUGUUAGUUUAUUGCUAUUAACCAUGUGUGUUCUGUAAGUUAAAAAAUCUUAGUGUAUAAAAGUUUGAAAAGUGUUAUAAUAAAAAAUUCAACAAAAGA